rnacentral:tRNA from 1 species
UUAAUGUAAACAUUAUGUAUUUAGUUUCGACCUAAAA